AGAGUUUGAUCCUGGCUCAGGACGAACGCUGGCGGCACGCUUAACACAUGCAAGUCGAACGAGAGAAGAGGAGCCUGCUUUUCUGAUCUAGUGGCGGACGGGUGAGUAACACGUGAGCAAUCUGCCUUUCAGAGGGGGAUACCGAUUGGAAACGAUCGUUAAUACCGCAUAACAUAAUUGAACCGCAUGAUUUGAUUAUCAAAGAUUUAUCGCUGAAAGAUGAGCUCGCGUCUGAUUAGCUAGUUGGUAAGGUAACGGCUUACCAAGGCGACGAUCAGUAGCCGGACUGAGAGGUUGAUCGGCCACAUUGGGACUGAGACACGGCCCAGACUCCUACGGGAGGCAGCAGUGGGGAAUAUUGCACAAUGGAGGAAACUCUGAUGCAGCGAUGCCGCGUGAGGGAAGAAGGUUUUAGGAUUGUAAACCUCUGUCUUCAGGGACGAAAAAAGACGGUACCUGAGGAGGAAGCUCCGGCUAACUACGUGCCAGCAGCCGCGGUAAUACGUAGGGAGCGAGCGUUGUCCGGAAUUACUGGGUGUAAAGGGAGCGUAGGCGGGAUCGCAAGUCAGAUGUGAAAACUAUGGGCUUAACCCAUAAGCUGCAUUUGAAACUGUGGUUCUUGAGUGAAGUAGAGGUAAGCGGAAUUCCUAGAGUAGCGGUGAAAUGCGUAGAUAUUAGGAGGAACAUCAGUGGCGAAGGCGGCUUACUGGGCUUUAACUGACGCUGAGGCUCGAAAGCGUGGGGAGCAAACAGGAUUAGAUACCCUGGUAGUCCACGCCGUAAACGAUGAUUACUAGGUGUGGGGGGACUGACCCCUUCCGUGCCGCAGCAAACGCAAUAAGUAAUCCACCUGGGGAGUACGACCGCAAGGUUGAAACUCAAAGGAAUUGACGGGGGCCCGCACAAGCAGUGGAGUAUGUGGAUUAAUUCGAAGCAACGCGAAGAACCUUACCAGGUCUUGACAUCGUAUGCAUAGCUCAGAGAUGAGUGAAAUCUCUUCGGAGACAUAUAGACAGGUGGUGCAUGGUUGUCGUCAGCUCGUGUCGUGAGAUGUUGGGUUAAGUCCCGCAACGAGCGCAACCCUUACUGUUAGUUGCUACGCAAGAGCACUCUAGCAGGACUGCCGUUGACAAAACGGAGGAAGGUGGGGAUGACGUCAAAUCAUCAUGCCCCUUAUGACCUGGGCCUCACACGUACUACAAUGGCUGUCAACAGAGGGAAGCAAAGCCGCGAGGUGGAGCGAACCCCUAAAAGCAGUCUUAGUUCGGAUUGUAGGCAGCAACCCGCCUACAUGAAGUCGGAAUUGCUAGUAAUCGCAGAUCAGCAUGCUGCGGUGAAUACGUUCCCGGGCCUUGUACACACCGCCCGUCACGCCAUGGGAGUCGGUAACACCCGAAGCCUGUAGUCUAACCGCAAGGAGGACGCAGUCGAAGGUGGGAUUGAUGACUGGGGUGAAGUCGUAACAAGGUA
rnacentral:rRNA from 1 species